rnacentral:rRNA from 1 species
ACCGAGGCGACGAUGCGUAGGGGUUCUGAGAGGAAGGUCCCCCACACUGGUACUGAGACACGGACCAGACUCCUACGGGAGGCAGCAGUGAGGAAUAUUGGUCAAUGGGCGCGAGCCUGAACCAGCCAAGUCGCGUGAGGGAUGACGGUCCUACGGAUUGUAAACCUCUUUUGCCGGGGAGCAAGCGUGCGUUCGUGAACGCGCGUCGAGAGUACCCGGAGAAAAAGCAUCGGCUAACUCCGUGCCAGCAGCCGCGGUAAUACGGAGGAUGCGAGCGUUAUCCGGAUUUAUUGGGUUUAAAGGGUGCGUAGGCGGGAUGCCAAGUCAGCGGUAAAAAUGCGGUGCUCAACGCCGUCGAGCCGUUGAAACUGGCGUUCUUGAGUGGGCGAGAAGUAUGCGGAAUGCGUGGUGUAGCGGUGAAAUGCAUAGAUAUCACGCAGAACUCCGAUUGCGAAGGCAGCAUACCGGCGCCCUACUGACGCUGAGGCACGGAAGCGUGGGUAUCGAACAGGAUUAGAUACCCUGGUAGUCCACGCAGUAAACGAUGAAUGCUAACUGUCCGGCUCGAAUGAGCGCUGG